rnacentral:misc_RNA from 1 species
GGAAGUAAAAGUCGUAACAAGAUUUCCGUAGGUGAACCCGCGGAAGGAUCAUUACCAAAAGAUAAUCUUUCCAUCUCGAAAGAUCUUUUCCAUUGUGCUGGCUUUGACUGUAUUGUCAUUUUAGGGCUUAAACAUGGUGUUAUGCCGGCCCUAAAAAACAUUAUACCAACCUUAUGAAAAUUGACUGAACAACUAAAACAAUUGAUAAUCUUGUUUAAAAACAACUUUCAACAACGGAUCUCUUGGCUCUC